rnacentral:rRNA from 1 species
AAAUUGAAGAGUUUGAUCAUGGCUCAGAUUGAACGCUGGCGGCAGGCCUAACACAUGCAAGUCGAACGGUAACAGGAAACAGCUUGCUGUUUCGCUGACGAGUGGCGGACGGGUGAGUAAUGUCUGGGAAACUACCUGAUGGAGGGGGAUAACUACUGGAAACGGUAGCUAAUACCGCAUAACGUCGCAAGACCAAAGAGGGGGACCUUAGGGCCUCUUGCCAUCGGAUGUGCCCAGAUGGGAUUAGCUAGUAGGUGGGGUAA